UGCAAGUCGAACGCUGAAGGCUCAGCUUGCUGGGCUGGAUGAGUGGCGAACGGGUGAGUAACACGUGAGUAACCUGCCCUCUUCUUUGGGAUAACGGUCGGAAACGGCUGCUAAUACCGGGUAUUCACUGUCCUUCGCAUGGGGGUGGUGGAAAGGUUUUUUCUGGUGGGGGAUGGGCUCGCGGCCUAUCAGCUUGUUGGUGGGGUGAUGGCUUACCAAGGCUUUGACGGGUAACCGGCCUGAGAGGGUGACCGGUCACAUUGGGACUGAGAUACGGCCCAGACUCC
rnacentral:rRNA from 1 species